rnacentral:sRNA from 2 species
GCGAUGAGCUGAUUUGUGUAAGACGAGGAAUGGUAUACAUGUGGAUGUGAACACAUGAUUCCUCGCCACAAAUAUACGUAGAAAACGUCUGUAUUUAUACAGACGUU